GAUGAACGCUGGCGGCGCGCCUAACACAUGCAAGUCGAACGAUUAAAGCACCUUCGGGUGUGUAUAAAGUGGCGAACGGCUGAGUAACACGUGGGCAACCUGCCCCUUUCAUUGGGAUAGCCACGGGAAACCGUGGAUAAUACCGAAUACUUCGAGACUUCCGCAUGGAAGACUCGAGAAAGCUCCGGCGGAGGGGGAUGGGCCCGCGGCCUGUUAGCUUGUUGGUGGGGUAACGGCCUACCAAGGCAAUGCUGGGUAGCUGGGUUGAGAGACCGACCAGCCAGAUUGGGACUGAGACACGGCCCAGACUCCUACGGGAGGCAGCAGUGGGGAAUCUUGCACAAUGGGCGAAAGCCUGAUGCAGCGACGCCGCGUGCGGGAUGAAGGCCUUCGGGUUGUAAACCGCUUUCAGCAGGGACGAGGCGAAAGUGACGGUACCUGCAGAAGAAGCCCCGGCUAACUACGUG
rnacentral:rRNA from 1 species